AUACGGAGGAUGCAAGCGUUAUCCGGAUUUAUUGGGUUUAAAGGGUGCGUAGGCGGGACUGUAAGUCAGGGGUGAAAUACUGCAGCUUAACUGUAGCAUUGCCUUUGAAACUGUGGUUCUUGAGUACAGUUGAGGUAGGCGGAAUGUGGUGUGUAGCGGUGAAAUGCAUAGAUAUACCACAGAACGCCGAUUGCGAAGGCAGCUUACUAAGCUGUUACUGACGCUGAGGCACGAAAGCGUGGGGAUCAAACAGGAUUAGAUACCCUGGUAGUCCACGCUGUAAACGAUGAUUACUAGCUGUUUGCGAUACAAUGUAAGCGGCUGAGCGAAAGCGUUAAGUAAUCCACCUGGGGAGUACGACCGCAAGGUUGAAACUCAAAUGAAUUGGCGGGG
rnacentral:rRNA from 1 species